rnacentral:rRNA from 1 species
AACGAACGCUGGCGGCAUGCCUAACACAUGCAAGUCGAACGAACCCUUCGGGGUUAGUGGCGCACGGGUGCGUAACACGUGGGAAUCUGCCCUUGGCUUCGGAAUAACAGUUAGAAAUGACUGCUAAUACCGGAUGAUGACGAAAGUCCAAAGAUUUAUCGGCCAGGGAUGAGCCCGCGUAGGAUUAGGUAGUUGGUGGGGUAAAGGCCUACCAAGCCGGCGAUCCUUAGCUGGUCUGAGAGGAUGAUCAGCCACACUGGGACUGAGACACGGCCCAGACUCCUACGGGAGGCAGCAGUGGGGAACAUUGGACAAUGGGGGCAGCCCUGAUCCAGCAAUGCCGCGUGAGUGAUGAAGGCCUUAGGGUUGUAAAGCUCUUUUACCCGGGAUGAUAAUGACAGUACCGGGAGAAUAAGCUCCGGCUAACUCCGUGCCAGCAGCCGCAGUAAUAC